GGGAAUAUAGCUCUGUGGUAGUGCACUUGCCUUUCCUGCAUGAGGCCCUGGCUUCAACCCCCAGUACUGCCA
rnacentral:tRNA from 1 species